UACGGGGGGGGCAAGCGUUGUUCGGAAUUACUGGGCGUAAAGGGUUCGUAGGUGGCUUGCUAAGUCAGACGUGAAAUCCCUCGGCUUAACCGGGGAACUGCGUCGGAUACUGGAUGGCUUGAAUUCGGGAGAGGGAUGCAGAAUUCCAGGUGUAGCGGUGAAAUGCGUAGAUAUCUGGAGGAAUACCGGUGGCGAAGGCGGCAUCCUGGACCGACAUUGACGCUGAAUGGCGAAAGCUAGGGGAGCAAACGGG
rnacentral:rRNA from 1 species